AUUGAACGCUGGCGGCAGGCUUAACACAUGCAAGUCGAGCGGGGAAGAGUAGCUUGCUACUUAACCUAGCGGCGGACGGGUGAGUAAUGCUUAGGAAUCUGCCUAUUAGUGGGGGACAACAUCUCGAAAGGGAUGCUAAUACCGCAUACGUCCUACGGGAGAAAGCAGGGGACCUUCGGGCCUUGCGCUAAUAGAUGAGCCUAAGUCGGAUUAGCUAGUUGGUGGGGUAAAGGCCUACCAAGGCGACGAUCUGUAGCGGGUCUGAGAGGAUGAUCCGCCACACUGGGACUGAGACACGGCCCAGACUCCUACGGGAGGCAGCAGUGGGGAAUAUUGGACAAUGGGGGGAACCCUGAUCCAGCCAUGCCGCGUGUGUGAAGAAGGCCUUUUGGUUGUAAAGCACUUUAAGCGAGGAGGAGGCUACCGAGAUUAAUGCUCUUGGAUAGUGGACGUUACUCGCAGAAUAAGCACCGGCUAACUCUGUGCCAGCCGCCGCGGUAAAAC
rnacentral:rRNA from 1 species